rnacentral:rRNA from 1 species
UUACACAGCCAUAUCACCCUGCAGCCCAAGACCGGUUACUCACUGAAGCUAAGCAGGUCUGAGCCUGGUUAGUACCUGGAUGGGAGACCACUAGGGAACACUAGGUUGCUGUUGGAA